GACGAACGCUGGCGGCGUGCCUAAUACAUGCAAGUUGAGCGCUGAAGGUUGGUACUUGUACCGACUGGAUGAGCAGCGAACGGGUGAGUAACGCGUGGGGAAUCUGCCUUUGAGCGGGGGACAACAUUUGGAAACGAAUGCUAAUACCGCAUAAAAACUUUAAACACAAGUUUUAAGUUUGAAAGAUGCAAUUGCAUCACUAAAAGAUGAUCCCGCGUUGUAUUAGCUAGUUGGUGAGGUAAAGGCUCACCAAGGCGAUGAUACAUAGCCGACCUGAGAGGGUGAUCGGCCACAUUGGAACUGAGACACGGCCCAAACUCCUACGGGAGGCAGCAGUAGGGAAUCUUCGGCAAUGGACGAAAGUCUGACCGAGCAACGCCGCGUGAGUGAAGAAGGUUUUCGGAUCGUAAAACUCUGUUGGUAGAGAAGAACGUUGGUGAGAGUGGAAAGCUCAUCAAGGGACGGAAACUACCCAGAAAGGGACGGCAAACUACGG
rnacentral:rRNA from 1 species